AGUAAGCAAGUUUCGGGCCCUUCAUCAGAGAAAAGGAAACAACCUUUAGAGCAAGUACACCAGAGGGUAGCUAAGCUAUCUUGUGAAUAUUUCACAAUUCUAAUUUAUCUAUCAACUCUUUCUUUCACAACUACAUCAACAUUAUCUAUUUACUAAACACCGAAUAAAAUACACAUUUUCUCACUCUUUUUCCUUAUCUUUUUAUUUUUAUCAUUUUGGAUCACAGGCCACUAUUGAAACGGAAAAACCUACAAAUCUCUCUCUCCAAAACCACCAAAAAAACCCACAAAUCAAAACCCACAAAUUGAACCCAACAAUCAAAACCCACAAUCAAACCUCAAAUUGAAGCCAACAAUCAAACAUCAAACCCACCAAGGACGGAAGUGGACCAGCAGAUGGAAGAGAGAAGGUGAAGAACUUCCUAGCAAGAGCAGGGAGGAGGAGAGAGAGAGAAACAAUAAUAUUUUGUUUUUACCUAAUCUGCUGCAGCUUGAUUUUCUGUGUUUUGCUUCGUUACUUCACCGAAAUCCUCCUUUUACCUAUGCUGGUGUUGUUGCUCUUACAUCUAAGGCAUAAAAGCAUUCCAAUAGUAAGUUUACAAAUAGAUACAAAUAUCUAACACACUUAUGCAUGACAAUUAGGCUCUGCUUCCUCCAACUCACCCUCCUCAGCAAGCCUCGAGUCCUUGUACACAUACCACUUGGCACCAACCAAAAACAAGAAAAAGUUCAAAACGCUUAGAAUUGCCAAAAGCCAAUAGAAAUUGUAGAGCCUCCCUUGGUUGAGAUUAUCAGCUAGCCAUGGCCUUCUAUCCCCAG